AGCCGAACUGUGAGCGUCCACGUCUCCGCACCGUAGGUCAUGACAGCUUUAAAAACGAGGAACGACACUCCUACCCAUGAGAGGUAGAGCAACAGUGAUUAAUAUACAUACAGUCAAAUCUGCGCGCUAACAUGUUGGAAUGCUGUUGGAGCUUGCUGAUUCUGCGCGCUAGAGAUGCACAGCGCUUGCGCAUAGAAGCAAAGAAGCAGUCCACUCAUAAUCAUCUGAUAAAAUACAUUAUAUGCCCAAUUUACAUAACCAUAAGCAUUACAUUCAAAUAUUUCUGGACAUCGAUACUCAUUACAUCAUGUGCAUUAUGAGAUUACAGUGAGAGUGUUUUUGGUUUCAUUGCGUAACUGUAACAAGUUAUUGGCCCAGAUUAUAGUGUAACUUGAUAAAUAAGGAGCCGUAACAGUGACGAAUAGACGCCAAGGACAUUGCAGCCCCUUAUGUAGGACGAUUACGUUAUGAGUAAAAGGCAAUAAAAUUUUAGAGGUACCA